AUUAAAACAUGGGUUCCCAUAUGAUUACCGAAACUAAGCAAUGUUGAGCCUGGUCAGUACCUAGAUGGGUGAUCACUAAGGAAUACCAGGUACCGUAAG